UACGUAGGGGGCUAGCGUUGUUCGGAAUUACUGGGCGUAAAGCGCACGUAGGCGGAUCGAUCAGUCAGGGGUGAAAUCCCAGAGCUCAACUCUGGAACUGCCUUUGAUACUGUCGAUCUAGAGUAUGGAAGAGGUGAGUGGAAUUCCGAGUGUAGAGGUGAAAUUCGUAGAUAUUCGGAGGAACACCAGUGGCGAAGGCGGCUCACUGGUCCAUUACUGACGCUGAGGUGCGAAAGCGUGGGGAGCAAACAGGAUUAGAUACCCCCGUAGUCC
rnacentral:rRNA from 1 species